UACGUAGGGGGCAAGCGUUGUCCGGAUUUACUGGGCGUAAAGAGCGUGUAGGCGGCUCGAUAAGUCUGCUGUGAAAGUCCAGGGCGCAACCCUGGAAGGCCGGUGGAAACUGUCGGGCUAGAGUCCGGAAGAGGCGAGUGGAAUUCCCGGUGUAGCGGUGAAAUGCGCAGAUAUCGGGAGGAACACCAAUGGCGAAGGCAGCUCGCUGGGACGGUACUGACGCUGAGACGCGAAAGCGUGGGGAGCAAACAGG
rnacentral:rRNA from 1 species